rnacentral:rRNA from 1 species
AUUGAACGCUGGCGGCAUGCUUUACACAUGCAAGUCGAACGGCCGCGCGGGCUUCGUCCUGGUGUCGAGUUGCCAACGGGUGAGUAAUGCAUCGGUACGUGACCUGUCGUUGGGGCUAGCCUGGCGAAAGCCGGCUUAAUCUCGCACACGACCAGAUGUUGAAAGGCGGGGUUCGAAAGUCCUCGCGCUAUUUGCUCGGCCGUUGUCGGAUUAGCUAGUUGGUGUGGUAAAGGCUUACCAAGGCGACGAUCCGUAGCUGGUCUGAGAGGCCGACCAGCCACACUGGAACUGAGACACGGCCCAGACUCCUACGGGAGGCAGCAGUGGGGAAUUUUGCACAAUGGGGGCAAGCCUGACCCAGCAAUGCCGCGUGAGUGAAGAAGGCCUUCGGGUUGUAAACCGCUGUUGUUAGGGAAGAAAACCUGUGGGCGAAUACCCCGGGGGGAUGACGGUACCGGAAGAGUAAGCACCGGCUAACUACGUG